UACAGGGGGUGCAAACGUUGCUCGGAAUCAUUGGGCGUAAAGCGCACGUAGGCGGUUCGUUAUGUCGGAUGUGAAAGCCCUUGGCUUAACCGAGGAAGUGCAUCCGAAACUGGCGAGCUAGAGUACGAAAGAGGAUCGCGGAAUUCCCGGUGUAGAGGUGAAAUUCGUAGAUAUCGGGAGGAACACCGGUGGCGAAGGCGGCUCACUGGACCAUAACUGACGCUGAGGCACGAAAGCUAGGGGAGCAAACAGG
rnacentral:rRNA from 1 species